GACGAACGCUGGCGGCGUGCUUAACACAUGCAAGUCGAACGGAAAGGCCCUGCUUUUGUGGGGUGCUCGAGUGGCGAACGGGUGAGUAACACGUGAGUAACCUGCCCUUGACUUUGGGAUAACUUCAGGAAACUGGGGCUAAUACCGGAUAGGAGCUCCUGCUGCAUGGUGGGGGUUGGAAAGUUUCGGCGGUUGGGGAUGUACUCGCGGCUUAUCAGCUUGUUGGUGGGGUAGUGGCUUACCAAGGCUUUGACGGGUAGCCGGCCUGAGAGGGUGACCGGCCACAUUGGGACUGAGAUACGGCGCAGACUCCUACGGGAGGCAGCAGUGGGGAAUAUUGCACAAUGGGCGGAAGCCUGAUGCAGCAACGCCGCGUGCGGGAUGACGGCCUUCGGGUUGUAAACCGCUUUCGCAUGUGACGAAGCGUGAGUGACGGUAAUGGGUAAAGAAGCACCGGCUAACUACGUG
rnacentral:rRNA from 1 species